GAUGAACGCUGGCGGCGUGCCUAAUACAUGCAAGUCGAGCGAACAGAUGAGGAGCUUGCUCCUCUGACGUUAGCGGCGGACGGGUGAGUAACACGUGGAUAACCUACCUAUAAGACUGGGAUAACUUCGGGAAACCGGAGCUAAUACCGGAUAAUAUAUUGAACCGCAUGGUUCAAUAGUGAAAGACGGUUUUGCUGUCACUUAUAGAUGGAUCCGCGCCGCAUUAGCUAGUUGGUAAGGUAACGGCUUACCAAGGCAACGAUGCGUAGCCGACCUGAGAGGGUGAUCGGCCACACGGGAACUGAGACACGGUCCAGAAUCCUACGGGAGGCAGCAGUAGGGAAUCUUCCGCAAUGGGCGAAAGCCUGAAGGAGCAACGCCGCGUGAGUGAUGAAGGUCUUCGGAUCGUAAAACUCUGUUAUUAGGGAAGAACAAAUGUGUAAGUAACUAUGCACGUAUUGACGGUACCUAAUCAGAAAGCCACGGCUAACUACGUG
rnacentral:rRNA from 1 species